rnacentral:rRNA from 1 species
AGGAAUAUUGGUCAAUGGACGAGAGUCUGAACCAGCCAAGUAGCGUGAAGGAUGAAGGUUCUAUGGAUUGUAAACUUCUUUUAUACGGGAAUAAACGAAUCCACGCGUGGAUUUUUGCAUGUACCGUAUGAAUAAGGAUCGGCUAACUCCGUGCCAGCAGCCGCGGUAAUACGGAGGAUCCGAGCGUUAUCCGGAUUUAUUGGGUUUAAAGGGAGCGUAGAUGGGUUGUUAAGUCAGUUGUGAAAGUUUGCGGCUCAACCGUAAAAUUGCAAUUGAUACUGGCAGUCUUGAGUACAGUUGAGGUAGGCGGAAUUCGUGGUGUAGCGGUGAAAUGCUUAGAUAUCACGAAGAACUCCGAUUGCGAAGGCAGCUUACUAACCUGUAACUGACAUUGAUGCUCGAAAGUGUGGGUAUCAAACAGGAUUAGAUACCCUGGUAGUCCACACGGUAAACGAUGAAUACUCGCUGUAGGCGAUAUACGGUCUGCGGCCAAGCGAAAGCAUUAAGUAUUCCACCUGGGGAGUACGCCGGCAACGGUGAAACUCAAGGGAAUUGACGGGGGCCCGCACAAGCGGAGGAACAUGUGGUUUAAUUCGAUGAUACGCGAGGAACCUUACCCGGGCUUAAAUUGCAACCGAAUAUGGCGGAAACGCCAUAGCUAGCAAUAGCGGUUGUGAAGGUGCUGCAUGGUUGUCGUCAGCUCGUGCCGUGAGGUGUCGGCUUAAGUGCCAUAACGAGCGCAACCCUUGCCGAUAGUUACUAACAGGUUAUGCUGAGGACUCUGUCGGGACUGCCAUCGUAAGAUGUGAGGAAGGUGGGGAUGACGUCAAAUCAGCACGGCCCUUACGUCCGGGGCUACACACGUGUUACAAUGGGGGGUACAGAGGGCUGCUACCACGCAAGUGGAUGCCAAUCCCAAAAACCUCUCUCAGUUCGGAUUGAAGUCUGCAACCCGACUUCAUGAAGCUGGAUUCGCUAGUAAUCGCGCAUCAGCCACGGCGCGGUGAAUACGUUCCCG